rnacentral:rRNA from 1 species
UGGGGAAUAUUGGACAAUGGGCGCAAGCCUGAUGCAGCCAUGCCGCGUGAGUGAAGAAGGCCUUCGGGUUGUAAAGUACUUUCAGCGGGGAGGAAGGGAGUAAAGUUAAUACCUUUGCUCAUUGAUGUUACCCGCAGAAGAAGCACCGGCUAACUCCGUGCCAGCAGCCGCGGUAAUACGGAGGGUGCAAGCGUUAAUCGGAAUUACUGGGCGUAAAGCGCACGCAGGCGGUUUUUUAAGUCAGAUGUGAAAUCCCCGGGCUCAACCUGGGAACUGCAUCUGAUACUGGCAAGCUUGAAUCUCGUAGAGGGGGGUAGAAUUCCAGGUGUAGCGGUGAAAUGCGUAGAGAUCUGGAGGAAUACCGGUGGCGAAGGCGGCCCCCUGGACGAAGACUGACGCUCAGGUGCGAAAGCGUGGGGAGCAAACAGG